UAUCUGCUACAUCAAAGUUCAACUAAUUAAUAAUCUGACUGAAUCAAAGACAUUUGAAAAAUAAUAUGUCAUUUUGAAACAAAGCAGUGAGAAACUGUUGUGUUUGACAUCAAUUGAGAGGAUCUGAACCGACCCAUCAGAACUCAGUGGAGGUGGUGGAGGAUGAGGAUGGGGCGCGGCGAGGUUUUUGCUACCAGAAACAUCGAGCCAGGAGAAUUCUUGCUGGAAUAUGUUGGAAGACACAUCACUGGCUCUGAGGGAGAGAAACUGUUUGAACAGUAUUCAGAAGUGGAUGCAGCAUUUUUGUAUUUUAACAAAUUCCAAGGACAAACCCACUGCAUUGACGGCAGUAAAGAUACAGCAAGACUUGGAAGAUUCAUGAAUGAUGACCAUGUCAAACCAAACAGC